rnacentral:rRNA from 1 species
GUCGAACGGAUUAUUCUUUAUAGCUUGCUACGGGGACAAUUAGUGGCAGACGGGUGAGUAAUGCAUAGGAAUCUACCUAGUAGUAUAGGAUAGCCACUAGAAGUGGUGGGUAAUACUGUAUAAUCCCUGCGGGGGAAAGAUUUAUCGCUACAUGAUGAGCCUAUGUUAGAUUAGCUAGUUGGUGGGGUAAUGGCCUACCAAGGCAGUGAUCUAUAGCUGGUCUGAGAGGAUGAUCAGCCACACUGGAACUGAGACACGGUCCAGACUCCUACGGGAGGCAGCAGUGGGGAAUAUUGGACAAUGGGCGCAAGCCUGAUCCAGCUAUGCCGCGUGAGUGAGGAAGGCCUUAGGGUUGUAAAACUCUUUCAGUAGGGAAGAUAAUGACGGUACCUAUA